CUGGAAUUUCCCCCCACCACGAGUCACGACAUUGCAGUGGUGAGUGCUUUGUGCUGCGAGCAGAAGAAAGAAAUUCAUACAGGUUUGAAACAACAUGAGGACCACAGAUCUAACUACUUAUAGAAGGUCUGCUGUUCUUCGUGGUCUUCCCCUGUACUUGAGAGAGCCAGCUUCAAUUUCAAAGACUAUUAAGGUAAUAAAUUUGAAUAUCUUUAUUAUGGUAUUACUGUUUGUGAUGCAGUAGUGAUUGCAUAAGACAUUAUGCUUUCAGUCUGACACUAAAAGUCUUU